AUCACCCUGAACUCUUGCCUUUCUCCAGUGUGCUCUCCUUCAAAACAAUCUCUCCCAACUUCCUCCUCCUCCAUAUGGUCAACAUUACUUGAAGAUCAGAAGUGGGAUCCAGAAAAGACCCCCAAUAACUCUGAGGCUUGUGAGCAAACAGGUGCUGGGACCCACAGAGCUCACUGCUUUCUUGCUGACCCUGAAGUUUAAGGGUACUCUGGGGAAACAGGCUCCUGCCGGCAUUCUCAACAUCGGUGCCUGAGAACACGAAACACUAAGGUCUCCUGGUACAAUUUUGAAACUGACUCCAGGCUCUUCUCCACUUAACUCUUCUAUGAACCGGAUUUACCUCGAAAUUCUUGCUGGCCCCUGGUUCCAUCACACUGGGAAGA